UUCUGGAACAUUUGGAUCGCCAAGUGAAUUUUCAGCCCGAACGAUCCCUUACAGCUGCCUGGACUUAGUCCCUGUAACAACAUCAAGUUCUAAAUGUCCCCUUUCAUUUUCACCCCUGUUCUAAGGUACGUUUGUAAUGACUCAGGGUAACAUUCUGGUAUUUUAUCAAUAUUUACCAUCUUGAAAUAUCUUGAUAAUCCGAUUAAUAAAUGUUCUUAGAGUUCACUGCUCAAUUACUGUUUGCCUAAUUCUGCUAUAGUUACCAUGACUGAAACAAGAGAUAUAUAAAAGAUGAUUUCUUCUGCUUUCAGUGAACUUGUGAUAUUGACUUAAUGACAAAACAAGAAACUUCAAAAAUUAGAGAAAAGUAACUUCUGUGAGAACGAGAACCAUGCCUUUAUUUUUCUGCCACUUCAUUAUCUCUGAUGCUGACUUUGAACUCUGACAAUUAGCAUGCAAAAGUAUGUGUUGAAUAGAUGGUGAAUAAACAAACAUUUAAUGGUAUGAUUGUUCCUGAAAAUUUAACUGCCUACAAUAUUAUUAUGAUUACGUCACUCAUAUAUUUAGACAUGACAAACAAAAAUAAUACAACAAAAAAUUAGAAUUUGCUUGCACAGAUGGGCAGCUUUUGAACCCUCCCACAGCCUGACCUUCACCAAACUUCACCAGCUCAUUUCCCAUUCCUUCCAUUUACUCUCUAUACCAUAUCUCAGACUGUGAGUCUAGCUCUGUUAGUCUGAUUUACUCUUCCAUGUCAACCUGCUUCAAUACAUAUAGUUCUCUAAACCUGAAAUGCCUUAUCUUCCAACGUCCCUUGACCUGCAUUAUUCAAAUCCACAUUCAAGGCACAUAUAACUUAUAAAGAUCCAAAUUCACAGGUCCCCUGUCUUUCUGAAAAGUAUAGCUUUUAUCAUUUUUAUUAGAGUCAUUUCAGACUUUCUUUCCCAUUAGAAAAUUUUGAGGGGUGAGAAGUACAAUUUUUUUCUUGUUUUUUUUUUAAUUCAUUAUUCAUUUGCUCUAUAGUCACAAUUUAAGUCAAAUUGUGGGACAAAAACAGACAUACUAACCAAUAGAACAGAAGAGAGAACCCAGAAAUAACCCCAGACACCUAUGGUCAACCAACUUUUGACCAAGGAGGCAAGAAUAUAAAAUGGGCAAAAGACAGUCUCUUCAACAAGUGGUGCUGGGAAAACUGGACAGCUGUGUGUGCAUCAGGGAAACUAGAACACACCCUCACACCAUGCACAAAAAUAAACUUAAAAUGGCUUAAAGACUUAAACAUAGGACAAGACACUAUAAAAGUAGAAGAGAACAUAGGCAAAGCAUUCUUUGACAUCCACCCUACAAAUGUUUUCUUAGGUCAGUCUCCCAUGGCAAUAGAAAUACAAACUAAAAUUAAAUCCUAUAAAAGAAAAGAGUACUUAAAAAAUAACAUAACCGAAACUGGAAAGCCAACACAUGAAAUCAUUGUUAAAGAUUAUUUUUUUCUCUGUAAUAAAUACUUAUGAAGAUGUAAGAUGGUUAAGGAUUUUAUCUGGAUUCUAAUUUCCAUGGGAAGAUGUUAGUCAAAAAACAAUGCAUUAAUAAAAUACAUUUUCAGGAGAUUAUUCUGGCUGUAUAAUGGUGGAAAAAAAUAGUGAGUCUGAAGCAAAAUAGAUCUUAGGAGGAGAAAUCAGUUGAUCAUGUUAGAAAUUCAAAAGAGAGAUGAUGCUAGAUUGAAACAGAAUGGUCCAUGAAGGUAAGACAAGUUUGGAAUAUAUUUUUGAAAGGAAAUAAUGAGGUUUGCUGGCAGAUGGGAAAUAAUGGGCAUUGUGGAAGACACACCUGCUACACACCCAACUUCCCAAUACCUUCUCAUACACAGUAUCCCAACAUCUAUUACACCUCCAGCAUCCCAACAUCAGCUCUAUGUCCAAUAUCCCAUCAUCAGCUACACAUCCAGAGUCCAUUCCUCCUCGACCUUCUUCCCUUCCAACAGACUUUGUCCCUGCUAAUGACAGAAGCCAAUGGAUAUUAGAAAGGACAACAUCUCUUGCCUCAGGCUCCGAGCAUGGACUGUGAUUGCCUAAUACUGAUAGCACAUUUCAAUUAUUUUUGGUCAAUGAUGGAUUUAGGGUGACCAUGGGACAAAUUCUAGAUAAAAGGAUGGGAGCAAAUGCCAACUUAUUAGGUUUCCUAGGAGGCUUUUGCUUUCCUAAUAUAAGGUGACAAAUUCAGCUGGCAAGUCUCUUCCCUCUUUAGCCCAUUCACAUUUAUAUUAGCUCCCUAUUUCUGCUCGAACAAAAGCGUGACUUAAAACAACACACAUGCAUUUUCUGACAGUUCUGCAGUUCACAAGCCUGAAAUGGGACUUACUGGGCCAAAGUCACCUGGAGGUUCGAGGGGAGAAUCUGUUUCUGUUUUCCUACAUCCAUGGGAGAAGCCGCUAAUAUCUGGCUCUUGGCCUCCUACUAUCAUUAAAGUCAGCAUUUGCCAGUUGAAUUUUUCUCACACUCUUUCGCUCUGUUUUCAUCAUCACAUCUCCCCUUCUGAAUCUCCUGACUUGUUCUUUUACUUAUAAGGACGCUCGUAGUUAUAUUGGGCCCACCCCAAUAAGCCAGGACAAGCUCUCCAUCUCAGAAUCCUUAAUUUAAUCACAUCUGCAAAAUCUUGUUUACUAUGUUAGGUAACCACUUCACAGGUUCUGAGCAUCAGAACAUAAAAUUUUGGGGGGAGGGGCAUAUUUAUGCUUACCCCAGUGUUUUUUAAUCUUAACUGAUACAUAAUGCCUUAGAAUGGAAUAAUUUGCCAAGAGACAGUGAGCACAAGUGAAAGACCAUCUCCCAGUGCAAACUCUAACACUGUCUGGCCUCUGGACUGUUAGUAGACUGAAAUAUAACUCAGUGCACAGUGAACUCUCCUUGGUUAAGCAUGCUUAUCUGCGUUAUCUUUUCCUGUAGCCAUCCAUGGUAAGAAGUACAUCUUUAUGUAAUAAUCCACAAGGUGUCAUGGCCUUCAUUUGAAAGACAAAAACAAAAAACAAAUCAUUGUCCUAAGAAUAAAGAUUCUUUUAAGUUUUUUAAUUUUAUUUUUCUGUUUUCUUUAUAUUAUACUGUAGUUCAUUUGAACUUUGUAAACAAAGCAGUGGUCACAUUGAAAUCACUUGGGAAAAGGCCCUCUUUUGUGCUCAACUCCAUAUAGCUCAAUAGUACCUGAUAACUUCAAUCAGCUGCUACUUCCUGAAAUUCCCCAUCCUUUGCCUUGAAGAUUUUAUUUCUUUCUACCCUUUCCAUUUUGUAUUCUUUCUUAUUAUUGUCCUUCAUCCUACUCUCCUUUAAUUUUGUUACCUCAAGGAAUGUUAUUUAAAAAAUUUUUUUUGUCUUUUGUCUUUUUAGGGCUGCACCCAUGGCAUACGGAGGCUCCUAGCUUAGAGGGUCUAAUCGGAGCUACAGCUGGCCAGCCUAUCCACAGCCACGGCAACACGGGAUCUGAGCUGCCUCUGUGACCUGCACCACAGCUCAUGGCAAUGCUGGAUUUUAACCCACUGAGCGAGGCCAGGGAUCAAACCAGCAAUCUCAAGGUUCCUAGUCAAAUUUCUAGGAAUUUCUGCUGCGCCCCAAUGAGAACUCCUGUUUUUCAAAAUUUUGACAAAGAUUUACAAAGAGAAUUGCCUUUACGUCACAAACAACUACACACACAUGUGCCGUUGGUUCUCAACUUUAUUUUCUCAAUUAAAAAUUUUUAGAAAAAUAAUUGCUAUGUGGAUGCAAGGACUCCAUUCCUAUCAGAUGCCAACUGCUUUGGGUUCCAGAGCCCAUAGUCUUGCACUGAUUUCUUUCUAUUUCAUUAUUACCUAAGAAAUGUUUUCUAUUACACCUUACCAGAAAAGAAAACAAAGACCAAGAGGAUGAAUUUCCUUAAUUCCAUCUCUCUCUCCAGGUUUGCUCCAGUUUUCUUCUGCUACCCUUAAGAGGAAAACUUCUAGAAAGAGCUAUGCAUAAUCACAUUCUCCACUUUACCUCUCAACUCUGUAUUUACACUACUCUAAUUGAACUUUCAUUGUUACAAGCUAAUUUUUGUCAAGUUAUAGGUAGCCAAGUCCAAUGGUAGCUCUUCUGUUCUUAUCCAUGAAAUCGGAAACACUUUCAACAGAGUUUACCACUCACUUUUAUGUUUGAGGCUUUCUUCUCGUGACUUCAGGAAUCCCAUUCUCUCCUUAUUUGUCUCCUAGUCAUUGACACUCUCCUACUGAUUACAUUUGCUGGCUCCUCACCCAGGUCUCAGCAGGGUCCUAGAACCUUUCCUGGAUCCUUUAUUCUUUUCCAUCUACAAAGAAAAACUCUUGACCCAAUCUAAUCUCUGGGCUCUAACCAGCAUCCAUAGAAACAAGUCUAAAUCACACAUUUUGAUCUCUCCCUGGAACUAUGACUUAUAUAAUCAGCUACAGACUGGCCAUCUCCACAUACAAAAUAUAAAAUUGCAGAGGUGCAGCUAGCCUAAAGACAGUCUUCUCAGUCCUCUUUUUUCCUAAGUGGCAAAAGUGAAAUGGUUAAAAAAUGAGUAAUUUACCCGACUUCACACUGAUCAUCAGGCAUAAAUUAAAGAUGCUUCUAAGCCAACACCAUUAGCUGAUUAGGAUGCCCCCCCCCAAAAAAAAAUGUAAUGCAUACAUCAAAUACUCAGAAACAGGAGAAUACGAUUCCUUUUCUGUUUGCCUGGAAGGUCCAAUGUUGGCCAAACCCCAUUGGCUAGACUCCUGGAGCUACAAGCCCUGAAUUCAUUCCAUCCCAUGCUGAGUAUCACAGCAGAGGCAAAACUACAUUUCUCUUCAACUUUCCCAAAUA
rnacentral:lncRNA from 1 species